rnacentral:rRNA from 1 species
AGUGAACGCUGGCGGUAGGCCUAACACAUGCAAGUCGAACGGCAGCGCAGUAAGAGCUUGCUCUUACGGGUGGCGAGUGGCGGACGGGUGAGGAAUACAUCGGAAUCUACUUUUUCGUGGGGGAUAACGUAGGGAAACUUACGCUAAUACCGCAUACGACCUACGGGUGAAAGCAGGGGAUCUUCGGACCUUGCGCGAUUGAAUGAGCCGAUGUCGGAUUAGCUAGUUGGCGGGGUAAAGGCCCACCAAGGCGACGAUCCGUAGCUGGUCUGAGAGGAUGAUCAGCCACACUGGAACUGAGACACGGUCCAGACUCCUACGGGAGGCAGCAGUGGGGAAUAUUGGACAAUGGGCGCAAGCCUGAUCCAGCCAUACCGCGUGGGUGAAGAAGGCCUUCGGGUUGUAAAGCCCUUUUGUUGGGAAAGAAAAGCAGCAGGUUAAUACCCCGCUGUUCUGACGGUACCCAAAGAAAAAGCACCGGCUAACUUCGUG